rnacentral:rRNA from 1 species
UGCCCUAGUAACGGCGAGUGAAGCGGCAACAGCUCAAAUUUGAAAUCUGGCCCUAGGCCCGAGUUGUAAUUUGCAGAGGAUGCUUUUGGCAAAGCGCUUACCGAGUCCCCUGGAACGGGGCGCCACAGAGGGUGAGAGCCCCGUAUGGUUUGACGCCGAGCCUCUGUAAAGCUCCUUCGACGAGUCGAGUAGUUUGGGAAUGCUGCUCUAAAUGGGAGGUAAAUUUCUUCUAAAGCUAAAUACCGGCCAGAGACCGAUAGCGCACAAGUAGAGUGAUCGAAAGAUGAAAAGCACUUUGAAAAGAGGGUUAAAUAGCACGUGAAAUUGUUGAAAGGGAAGCGCUCGUGACCAGACUUGCGCCGGGCGGAUCAUCCAGCGUUCUCGCUGGUGCACUCCGCCCGGCUCAGGCCAGCAUCGGUUUUCGCCGGGGGACAAAAGCUUCGGGAACGUGGCUCCCUUCGGGGAGUGUUAUAGCCCGUUGUUUAAUACCCCGGCGGGGACCGAGGACCGCGCUUCGGCAAGGAUGCUGGCGUAAUGGUCAUCAGCGACCCGUCUUGAAACACGGACCGAGGAGUCAAGCAUUAGUGCGAGUGUUUGGGUGUAAAACCCGCACGCGUAAUGAAAGUGAACGUAGGUGAGAGCUUCGGCGCAUCAUCGACCGAUCCUGAUGUUUUCGGAUGGAUUUGAGUAGGAGCAUUAACGCUUGGACCCGAAAGAUGGUGAACUAUACUUGAAUAGGGUGAAGCCA